UACGUAGGGUGCGAGCGUUAAUCGGAAUUACUGGGCGUAAAGCGUGCGCAGGCGGUUUUUUUAAGACAAGCGUGAAAUCCCCGGGCUUAACCUGGGAACUGCGCUUGUGACUGGAAGGCUAGAGUACGGCAGAGGGGGGUGGAAUUCCACGUGUAGCAGUGAAAUGCGUAGAGAUGUGGAGGAACACCGAUGGCGAAGGCAGCCCCCUGGGCCGAUACUGACGCUCAUGCACGAAAGCGUGGGGAGCAAACAGG
rnacentral:rRNA from 1 species